ensembl:snRNA U6 U6 spliceosomal RNA
UUGCUACGGCUGCACAUAUACUAAAAUUAGAUCGAUACAGAGAAGAUUAGCAUGGCCCCUGCGAAAGGAUGACACGCAAAUCCGUGAAGCGUUCCAUAUUUUU